rnacentral:rRNA from 1 species
AUUGAACGCUGGCGGCAGGCUUAACACAUGCAAGUCGAACGAUGACUAACUAGCUUGCUAGUUAUGAUUAGUGGCGGACGGGUGAGUAACAUUUAGGAAUCUGCCUAGUAGUGGGAGAUAGCUCGGGGAGACUCGAAUUAAUACCGCAUACGACCUACGGGUGAAAGGGGGCGCAAGCUCCUGCUAUUAGAUGAGCCUAAAUCAGAUUAGCUAGUUGGUGGGGUAAAGGCCCACCAAGGCGACGAUCUGUAACUGGUCUGAGAGGAUGAUCAGUCACACCGGAACUGAGACACGGUCCGGACUCCUACGGGAGGCAGCAGUGGGGAAUAUUGGACAAUGGGGGCAACCCUGAUCCAGCCAUGCCGCGUGUGUGAAGAAGGCCUUUUGGUUGUAAAGCACUUUAAGCAGGGAGGAGAGGCUAAUGGUUAAUACCCAUUAGAUUAGACGUUACCUGCAGAAUAAGCACCGGCUAACUCUGUGCCAGCAGCCGCGGUAAUACAGAGGGUGCGAGCGUUAAUCGGGAUUACUGGGCGUAAAGCGAGUGUAGGUGGCUCAUUAAGUCACAUGUGAAAUCCCCGGGCUUAACCUGGGAACUGCAUGUGAUACUGGUGGUGCUAGAAUAUGUGAGAGGGAAGUAGAAUUCCAGGUGUAGCGGUGAAAUGCGUAGAGAUCUGGAGGAAUACCGAUGGCGAAGGCAGCUUCCUGGCAUAAUAUUGACACUGAGAUUCGAAAGCGUGGGUAGCAAACAGGAUUAGAUACCCUGGUAGUCCACGCCGUAAACGAUGUCUACUAGCCGUUGGGGUCCUUGAGACUUUAGUGGCGCAGUUAACGCGAUAAGUAGACCGCCUGGGGAGUACGGCCGCAAGGUUAAAACUCAAAUGAAUUGACGGGGGCCCGCACAAGCGGUGGAGCAUGUGGUUUAAUUCGAUGCAACGCGAAGAACCUUACCUGGUCUUGACAUAGUGAGAAUCCUGCAGAGAUGCGGGAGUGCCUUCGGGAAUUCACAUACAGGUGCUGCAUGGCUGUCGUCAGCUCGUGUCGUGAGAUGUUGGGUUAAGUCCCGCAACGAGCGCAACCCUUUUCCUUAUUUGCCAGCGGGUUAAGCCGGGAACUUUAAGGAUACUGCCAGUGACAAACUGGAGGAAGGCGGGGACGGCGUCAAGUCAUCAUGGCCCUUACGACCAGGGCUACACACGUGCUACAAUGGUAGGUACAGAGGGUUGCUACACAGCGAUGUGAUGCUAAUCUCAAAAAGCCUAUCGUAGUCCGGAUUGGAGUCUGCAACUCGACUCCAUGAAGUCGGAAUCGCUAGUAAUCGCAGAUCAGAAUGCUGCGGUGAAUACGUUCCGGGGCCU